GAUGAACGCUGGCGGCGUGCCUAAUACAUGCAAGUCGAGCGAACAGACGAGGAGCUUGCUCCUUUGACGUUAGCGGCGGACGGGUGAGUAACACGUAGGUAACCUACCUAUAAGACUGGGAUAACUUCGGGAAACCGGAGCUAAUACCGGAUAAUAUUUCGAACCGCAUGGUUCGAUAGUGAAAGAUGGCUUUGCUAUCACUUAUAGAUGGACCUGCGCCGUAUUAGCUAGUUGGUAAGGUAACGGCUUACCAAGGCAACGAUACGUAGCCGACCUGAGAGGGUGAUCGGCCACACUGGAACUGAGACACGGUCCAGACUCCUACGGGAGGCAGCAGUAGGGAAUCUUCUGCAAUGGGCGAAAGCCUGACGGAGCAACGCCGCGUGAGUGAUGAAGGUCUUCGGAUCGUAAAACUCUGUUAUUAGGGAAGAACAAACGUGUAAGUAACUGUGCACGUCUUGACGGUACCUAAUCAGAAAGCCACGGCUAACUACGUG
rnacentral:rRNA from 1 species